rnacentral:rRNA from 1 species
GACGAACGCUGGCGGCGUGCUUAACACAUGCAAGUCGAGCGGUAAGGCCCUUCGGGGUACACGAGCGGCGAACGGGUGAGUAACACGUGGGUGAUCUGCCUCGCACUCUGGGAUAAGCCUGGGAAACUGGGUCUAAUACCGGAUAUGACCACCGGUCGCAUGGUUGGUGGUGGAAAGAUUUAUCGGUGCGAGAUGAGCCCGCGGCCUAUCAGCGUGUUGGUGGGGUAAUGGCCUACCAAGGCGACGACGGGUAGCCGGCCUGAGAGGGUGACCGGCCACACUGGGACUGAGACACGGCCCAGACUCCUACGGGAGGCAGCAGUGGGGAAUAUUGGACAAUGGGCGAAAGCCUGAUCCAGCAACGCCGCGUGAGGGAUGACGGCCUUCGGGUUGUAAACCUCUUUCAGCAGGGACGAAGCGAAGGUGACGGUACCUGCAGAAGAAGGACCGGCCAACUACGUGCCAGCCGCCGCGGUAAUAC